CGUUCCUUAAGCCGUCGGCACACUAUUUGAAUGCAACAAUACACUGAGGAUGCACACAAAACGCAUUGUUCUUGAUUACCCGGGCUUCCCGUACUCUGGAUGACCUGCGGUCCCCCCUACUUCGUACGAAAGAGGUUCCUCAGUACUGUUUGUAGCUGUGUUGCAUCCCAGGUGACUUAGCCGCUAGACAGCGAGUUGCAAGCAGAGAGCAAGACACACGAGCACAUACGGAAGAUGAGGCGCGCGCCCUGCAGUGGAUGCGAUACGAGGCCGCGCCUGGCAGUGACUACAGGUGUCGGGUUUCUGGACGGCUGCCCAGCGGCGUGUCGCAGCGGAGCUCUCCCUCUCGGCCGCCAGAUGGUGCUAACGUACAUGAAAAAGACUGAUAGACAGCAAUGGGACGUAAAAGCAAUGGAAAUGGCAGUUUCAGCCGUUUCAUCUUCCCAAAUGGGCUUUUUAAAAGCAUCUAAGCAGUUCAACGUGCCGAAAUCAACAUUGGAAAGAUAUGUGCCUAAAGCUACGAAUAACCCUAACUACAUCAUUGACAAAUCAGAUGGGAAAUUUAAAAAGUGCUCACUGCAGAACAAGAGCAUGAGCUGGUAACAUAUCUCAAGUCAAUGGAAAGCAGACUUUUUGGUCUAACAAUGGAAGAUCUCAGAUCACUAGCCUAUCAACUAGCCGAAAGAAAUGGCUUACCACACAGAUUUGACAAACAAACGUGUCUAGCUGGACAAGACUGGGUUAAAGGAUUUAUUACGAGGCAUCCUACACUGUCUAUUAGCAAGCCAGAAAAUACUUCUGGUGCUCGAGCAAUGGGAUUCAACAAAGUAGCAGUUUCACAGUUUACCUGUCCCAACCAGCUAUGUUGGCCGAAUAAUUCAGCUUUCCAGAUAUCGCUCGAGGCUGUCUUUCCAAUCCCAGUAAUCUGUCAAAAUACUCGGCGGACUACACGACGAAAAGGAAACACCGUCGUAUUAACAGAUUCUCGUUAUAAGAAGGAACUGCAGAAUGCUGUCACACGUAA